GUCCCGCUCCCUCGCUCCCCAGGUGAGCUUUUUGCCGACGCGGGGAACCGCGCGAGCCGCCGCCUCGAGCUGAUUGGCGGUUACCAGCGCCCUCCUCAUCAUCCCUCGAGCCUAGGACCAGGGCCCCGGGGCUGCAGCGGCGCUCCGCCUCUCCAUCCCCUGACGGAUGCGCGAGUGAAUCCUGCGGAGAUGGGGCACGCAAAGCCGGCCAGGUCCAGGCUGCGCGUGGAGUUCUUAGACGACAAGAGUUCAUCGCUUACUGGAUGCUAAAAGAUUGUUUGUUGCGUCCUGGUGUCUUCGUGGGAGUAACAUGGGCCACGGCAGCGGUUGAGUUCAAAUGGAAACUCAGGAGGACCUAGACGGCUGCCGUCCUAGAGAAAGAUGAGGACGUCCGCCCGCCACCAUGGAUUUCGCCGGCUCGACCAUAGAUUUUUUGUCUCUGUCCCAUCAUCUUCACCUCUGGCCGCAUUGGUUCUGACCUGAUCUUCCGCAUCACAGCCUGGAUGUCACCAGCGUCAUGAGAUCAGGUGUUCGGGGCUAAACAUCGAUGGCGUUGUUGAUCUCCAGGUUUGCCUCCCUCUCUGUGUUUUCAUGUGCGUGCGUGUGUGAUGGCUAACAAUUCACCUUCUUCCUCCAACAUCUCAGAAUGUAGUUUGACUAUGUUAGUCAGGCUCCAUAGUUCGAUGCAUCUACAAAAGAUAUGAAUAUUGGAUUUGGUCCAUUAAGUUUUUGUUCAAGAACGACAAUUUCAUUUUUGCCAAAAACACCCUGCGAUGGUCGUGAUCUCUGCUUCCUAACCUUCCUGAAGUGGUAUCUCUCCAGGUCAUAAUGAUGAUAUUACUCAAUACAUGUUGAGUUAAAACUGCUUUUUUCUAUACCACAUCAAGAGUAUAUUCAUGAGUUUUUGUAGCUAUAUGUCCAUUAGUUUUGUUCUCAUAUUAGUUUACAGUAUUUUUGGUUGUCAGAAAUAACAAUGUAAUCUCAAUUUGAGGCACUUGGCAUAUCAGAAGAUGAUGAUCUGGAAGGAGAUGAUGAUUUGGAAGGGAACAUACAAUUAGAUAUAUCAUAUUUAUUCUUGCAUAUUAUAUUAUGAUGAAUUGCAUUAAUCAGAUCCGAUCACCUAAAGUUUUUCUUGCAAAGUUGUAGACGGAAAAUAUGUCAGCAAUGAUCAAGACAUGGAUAAGAUGUAAGAGCGAGUGCAGAAAUAUAUAAGCCCUACCCGUUCUGAACUAAACUUGGCAGAAGAAAAUUUCUUUUAUUAAAGAAAAAAAUUCUCCUUUAUCAAAUGUCUGUUAGUAUUUUAAAUAUAACCAUCUUACUGCUGGGUUCGUAAUAUUUGGAAAACUGCUGAAUGCUUAUUUGAUUAACUAAAUAGAAAGUUGCAAAGACGAUGUUUAGAACAUAAUAGACCAUCAUUACUGCUAAUAAUGUGACAUGCUUCUUAUGCUGGUGAUUUAUCUUCCUGUGCUAUCUAUUAUUCCCUUUCAUCUUUCUCUUAUAAGUUAGGUUCCCACUUCCUAUCCUUGCCAUAUGUACAUGUCAUAUUGUGAUACAUCUACCAAUGCUUUAUAUCUAUUGAUAUGUUCUUUGUUUAUGACUUGUAGCUCUUGGUUACCCUUUUUAAGCUGACUGUAUUUGGUUGUCCUUUUUGUUAGUUGCCUAUGUAUUUGUUUGUAUUAGUUCCCCAUAAGCUUUGUGUUUUCCUAACAUGCUGCAACUUCUAAUAUGCAUUAUUUAUUAGGUGUUCACGAUAUCUUGCCUAUGCAAUUGAUAUGGUAUUGUUCAUUCACUUUGUGCAUCGUUAUAUUUGAGUAAUUUGACUAUGUGAUGUGAUUGUGUUACAUUAUUGGUAGGACAAGGGGUCUUUUGAUGAGAGACGGAGACAGAGGGCAGCUAGGUAUAGAAGGGCGACGGAGGAUAUGCCACGAUCUGCAAGGUAAUCAGUUAACUGCAGAUAAUAUUGAUUGGAAGAAGCAGAUGAAUUAAUUGCUGGUUGGAAUGCGCUUCAUAACAUGGCGCCUUUGACCUAAGUUUUUUCUGCCUGGUGUAACGUGAAUAAGCAGGUUGGGCAGAGUUUCCUGUAAUCAUGAAAAAAUCCAUUCCAUAUAUUAGAAUAAUUUCACCACAUAGCACUUAACCAGCUAGAACCAGAAAAACAUAACUACCUUUCCAAGCUCAUCAUGAUGUAGAGUUUCCAUCCUAUGUACCCUAAGGAGAUUCAUGUACAUGGAAGAAAAUGUAGGAGAGAUUUAUUAAAAAUAGAGUAAAUAGAAACUAGGGAAAUAUUAAAGGGGAGCUUGGGAUAAGUUCAUGGACAUAUGAAUACUAAAAGUACAGCCUAGAAGCCAAAACAUGCAUCAACAUUUCUCCGGUUCAAGGCCUUCAGACGAGCAAUGCUUGCAGUUGCACAUGAUUUAGCCUAGAGAAAAAUGGAUAACUUCAAUAAUAGGGAUAGUGAAAAUAACAUUUAGCUGCAAAUGCAAGGGUGUGUGCGAUUCUUGCCAAUUAUGCACCUUAAAAAAUCAUAGAUGUGCAUCAUGGCGAACCUACAGAAUUUCAUGCAAAUAUAUGAUCAGAUUUGCACUGUAAAAAAUUGACAGGUGGUUGUUACAUUAGUCAGAAAAUAAGUAGGGAACAUUUUGUCUUUGUUGUGCAGGCUAUAUUUCAAUAUAUGAUCAUACUUUUGAAUGAUUCUUUCUAGGUGCUAAUGUUACAACAUGAUGCACAUGUAUGAAUUUUUUGAUAAUCUUAAGGUGCAAAAUGAAGUAAACUGUAAACCCAAGACUGAAGCUUGCAUGUACAAAAUCUAAUUUAUUAAUAAUAUGCAUCAUAAUAUAGAGAAUAUAUCACAUUAUUACACAUACCUUGUCGUAUUCUUCUGAUCAAUGAGGAAAUUCAGGACAAGCAGACAACAAUAUAUUUCAAUCUCAGGAAGGCCUUCCUGGAUAGAAAUCUGUGUUGAUGCCCGUCGCCUCAACAUCCAUCUCAGUCUUAUCUUCCUAAGAAGUAAUAUUAUAUCAUCACCUAAAUUAAGGAGUUCUGAACAAUGUAACAAUUUUUUUAAAGCAAAUCUAACUUCAAACGUUAUGUUUACUUAAUUAUGAAGCAGGUAAGAGGUCUACAUUUGAUCAGACUUCAAGGGUAUCUUUGGUUCCUCACAUAGAUAAGCCAUCUUAGAAAAAUUAAGUUACCUUACACAUAUUUGGUAAAAUACAACCUCCCGCUCCAAGUCGAGUAAAAAAAACUAUUGUAUUUACCAUUUUUCUUCGGACGACUAGGUGGGACAUUUUCCAUUGUAGACUGGACUAGAUGAAGGCCACUCUGUAGUCCGCAUUAGCGUCUAAACGCUAAAGAGUUUUGUUUCUUGAUCUAUGUGAAGGUUUGCAUAAGUUUAGGGCAAAGAUGCACUUGGUUCCAUGCAGGUUGUUUCACGUAGUCUGUGAUAUAAGAACACUGUUAGAUGAGAGCAGGAAAAAAUAUACUAUAUAAAUAGAUGGUCAGUGCGUAUUGUUUUGCUACCAGAACAAACUAGGUUUGCCAUUCAAGUACUAUAUUACUGCAGAUGGUUAGUGGGACGGUUUGUUCUCACUGUUGUACUACUAUACUUUGGUUUAUCACUUUAUGUGGCUUUGGAUGUAGUGCAUCAUAAUUCAGUAAGAUCACAAUGUCCAUAUUUCUGUUUUUGCAAUGUGUCGUCCUCUCUUAGUGGGACACGCUUUUAUCCUAUAUCAUUGUGUUUCUGUUUAUUGGAAAGGAUAGGAGUUAUUGUAAGAUGUGUUUUUUUAUUGGCUUGUGUUAUUGCUGCUUAGCUGGCCUGGGUUCAUUCAAUUGCAUGUCGUGUCAUCUAUUUUUCAUGUUUAGGCGCCUUUUUGUCUCUUUAUUGUCAGCCUAUCUUACCCCCCUUUUGUGUUUUUUACAGUGAUGUUACAUUUGGCUAUAUUAUAUUUCUUAGCAUAGCUCUACAUAGAUAUAUUUGGGGACAGAGUAAACUUCGGUUUCAUUUGUUUCAGGGGUGCUAAUUCUUUGUCAGCAAGUGGAUAAUUGAUCACAUGGAUGAACAAAUUAAACAACUUAGCGAGAAGUUGAAGAUACAGAGCUGAAAACUCUGAUCAGUGUCUCCUACAACAGGUGACUAACAAAGACAAGCAGAUAAACGGACUUAGCAAGACCAUGAAUACUUUCAUACACAAUGUAUGCAAGCAUGCUGAUUGGGUUCGGAAGAUUAUUCAAGAUACCCUAUAUGAGAGGCUGGUCUGAAAUGCAAUAUCAGGUCGUGCUUAUUGAGCUGACAUGGCUAACUCUGACUUGUGGCAGUUCACUGUUCAAGCAGCUAAGGAGAUCCAUACGGUCAGCAUAUGUCCAUACAAAUUGGAAUUGAACUCCAAGAAGAUGAUCUGUUCCCUGUUACUGUUGGUUCUGAAGAAAAGGAAUGCUUUUCAUAUUCAUUUUGGGCCAUCUCAUGUUAAUUUCUUUGAUUAUCUAUAAUUUAUUAGAAUUCACCAUACAUUGGCCUUUCUAAAGAUUAGAACAUCACCGUUUGCAUCAUUUCCAAUCGAUGACAACCAUUUUCUAUUUGAGUGCUUAAGCCACGCUUGAUGUUGCUUACGUAUUAUCAAUUUCUAUAAAUACUUAAUAUAGUGGUUUACAAGCCAUUUACAA